UCCCUGGUGGUCUAGAGGUUAGGACUCGGCACUUUCACUGCUGAUGCCAGGGUUCAAUCCCUGGUCUGGGAA
rnacentral:tRNA from 1 species